CGAAAUGGUAAGUUAAUCGUGAUAUUUUACUGUAGUUGCGCUCGUGGAAUGAAAGAGACAAGAAUUUACACAAACAAAAUGCAUUUGUUUUCCUCGUUUGCUUUAUGCGUUGAUUUUGUUCACUUCUGUACAACAUCUAAUCGCUGGAAAAGUCUUUUGUGUAAACAUUUAUUAAAAAAGUGGAAAAGAAUUAAUAAAUAAAUCAAAUUAAUAUAAACAGACUCCGUAAGAGUGAAAGGGAAGCUAACAUUGCAAAGUUAGCGUUGUGCAGGAAAGAUAACAGAUAACAGCAAGGAAAUCGAUUCUCCAGCCAGCUGGCGUUUUGAGCGGCUUCAACUUUAUUUUGAGUGAGGAAAUUGUUCUAGCCCAUAACGUCGAUGGGGUCCAAGGGAAGAAGGCCCUUAGGACCCACAAAGAAUUUUUUGCAGCUUUGCUAGAAUGUAUUUCGCCUGGCGAUGAGCCCCCCGAAAACACUGUGCGGAAGGCAAUGCAAAGGAUGAAGAAAAGGGUUUUUAAGAAGAAGUGUCUUGCCAAAAGCCAGGAGUAGGCUAAGCAUCAUAAAAUUAAAAAUUAUUCGUUAUAAUGAAAGACAUUCUGCCAGAUUGACUACUACCAAUAGUCAGUUCGGAACUAGUUACUGGUAACUAGGUCAGAGCUAGCUAUAGGUAAUCGAAGGGUAGUCGAGUGGGGAACAAGUUGCUGGCUUUCUACUGGUAACUAGU